UUCCACAUUAGGUGUUUCCAGAAGUUUCUGUUGAAGGUAUGGAACCACUCAUCAGAAUUCAUGCAACACUGGGCACUGGUUCCAAACCAGGGACCAAAUCCCUCAACUGAUGGAUAGUCCCAGUGAACAUCCGCAGGCAUCUUCCUGGUCCAAGGACCUUUAGGGAGAAGUGUAUGCAGUGGAAUGUCUUCUGACCUGUUUUACAGGCACGAACACACCACUAUAUGUUUGUUAGAGAAAGCAGGGUCAAAGAAGUGAAUCUUACGCUGCAGCAGAAGGUGGUGAGGUUCCAGAGCCACCUCAAAGGCAACCACAUCCUACUCAAAUUGGACACCAUCACAAGAGUGGUGUAUUUCAAAACCAAGAAGGAACUUGAAACUAGACUCUACACUGGGAAGCAAUAGCAAUAACGAAAUGGGUGGAGAAGAAUCCAGUUUCUGUAAGAGCAAUAAGCAAAGGGAGAACCACAUCAGAAGGCAGAUUAGCUUGGCAGACAUGCAGCUGAAAAAUUCAGAAUGGUGUCUGAAUCAGGUAGUCCUCAACAUGAUCUCUCAGAAAUUUGGUAUUUCAGCUGUCAGUCUGCAUCACAAAGACAGAAUGGUGCCAAA